AGCGGAUGAGUGGAGCUUGCUCCAUGAUUCAGCGGCGGACGGGUGAGUAAUGCCUAGGAAUCUGCCUGGUAGUGGGGGACAACGUUUCGAAAGGAACGCUAAUACCGCAUACGUCCUACGGGAGAAAGUGGGGGAUCUUCGGACCUCACGCUAUCAGAUGAGCCUAGGUCGGAUUAGCUAGUUGGUGAGGUAAAGGCUCACCAAGGCGACGAUCCGUAACUGGGUCUGAGAGGAUGAUCAGUCACACUGGGAACUGAGACACGGUCCAGACUCCUACGGGAGGCAGCAGUGGGGGAAUAUUGGGACAAUNGGGCGAAAGCCUGGAUCCAGCCAUGCCGCGGUGGUGUGAAGAAGGUCUUCGGAUUGGUAAAGCACUUUAAGUUGGGAGGAAGGGCAGUAAGUUAAUACCUUGGCUGGUUUUGACGUUACCAACAGAAUAAGCACCGGCUAACUUCAUGCGG
rnacentral:rRNA from 1 species